AUCACGGUGGCACAGUGGGUAAUGCUGUUGCCUUGCAGCCAGAAGGUCCUGGGUACGAUUCCCAGCCGGGGGUC